rnacentral:rRNA from 1 species
GCUAGCUACAGGCUUAACACAUGCAAGUCGAGGGGCAGCAUGGUCUUAGCUUGCUAAGGCCGAUGGCGACCGGCGCACGGGUGAGUAACACGUAUCCAACCUGCCGUCUACUCUUGGACAGCCUUCUGAAAGGAAGAUUAAUACAAGAUGGCAUCAUGAGUCCGCAUGUUCACAUGAUUAAAGGUAUUCCGGUAGACGAUGGGGAUGCGUUCCAUUAGAUAGUAGGCGGGGUAACGGCCCACCUAGUCUUCGAUGGAUAGGGGUUCUGAGAGGAAGGUCCCCCACAUUGGAACUGAGACACGGUCCAAACUCCUACGGGAGGCAGCAGUGAGGAAUAUUGGUCAAUGGGCGAGAGCCUGAACCAGCCAAGUAGCGUGAAGGAUGACUGCCCUAUGGGUUGUAAACUUCUUUUAUAAAGGAAUAAAGUCGGGUAUGGAUACCCGUUUGCAUGUACUUUAUGAAUAAGGAUCGGCUAACUCCGUGCCAGCAGCCGCGGUAAUACGGAGGAUCCGAGCGUUAUCCGGAUUUAUUGGGUUUAAAGGGAGCGUAGAUGGAUGUUUAAGUCAGUUGUGAAAGUUUGCGGCUCAACCGUAAAAUUGCAGUUGAUACUGGACAUCUUGAGUGCAGUUGAGGCAGGCGGAAUUCGUGGUGUAGCGGUGAAAUGCUUAGAUAUCACGAAGAACUCCGAUUGCGAAGGCAGCCUGCUAAGCUGCAACUGACAUUGAGGCUCGAAAGUGUGGGUAUCAAACAGGAUUAGAUACCCUGGUAGUCCACACGGUAAACGAUGAAUACUCGCUGUUUGCGAUAUACUGCAAGCGGCCAAGCGAAAGCGUUAAGUAUUCCACCUGGGGAGUACGCCGGCAACGGUGAAACUCAAAGGAAUUGACGGGGGCCCGCACAAGCGGAGGAACAUGUGGUUUAAUUCGAUGAUACGCGAGGAACCUUACCCGGGCUUAAAUUGCAGAUGAAUUACGGUGAAAGCCGUAAGCCGCAAGGCAUCUGUGAAGGUGCUGCAUGGUUGUCGUCAGCUCGUGCCGUGAGGUGUCGGCUUAAGUGCCAUAACGAGCGCAACCCUUGUUGUCAGUUACUAACAGGUUCCGCUGAGGACUCUGACAAGACUGCCAUCGUAAGAUGUGAGGAAGGUGGGGAUGACGUCAAAUCAGCACGGCCCUUACGUCCGGGGCUACACACGUGUUACAAUGGGGGGUACAGAGGGCCGCUACCACGCGAGUGGAUGCCAAUCCCCAAAACCUCUCUCAGUUCGGACUGGAGUCUGCAACCCGACUCCACGAAGCUGGAUUCGCUAGUAAUCGCGCAUCAGCCACGGCGCGGUGAAUACGUUCCCGGGCCUUGUACACACCGCCCGUCAAGCCAUGGGAGCCGGGGGUACCUGAAGUGCGUAACCGCGAGGAGCGCCCUAGGGUAAAACUGGUGACUGGGGCUA